rnacentral:rRNA from 1 species
GAAUCAACGCUGGCGGCGUGCCUUAUACAUGCAAGUCGUACGCGAAAGCAGCUUCGGCUGUGAGUAGAGUGGCAAACGGGUGAGUAACGCGUGGGUGACCUGCCUUCGAGUGGGGGAUAACCUUCCGAAAGGAGGGCUAAUACCGCAUAACAUCCCGCCCUUGGAUGGGUGGUGAUCAAAGCCGGGGAUCGUAAGACCUGGUGCUUGAAGAGGGACCCGCGUCCGAUUAGCUUGUUGGUGGGGUAACGGCCUACCAAGGCGUCUAUCGGUAGCCGGCCUGAGAGGGCGGACGGCCACAAUGGGACUGAGACACGGCCCAUACUCCUACGGGGGGCAGCAGUAAGGAAUUGUUCGCAAUGGGCGCAAGCCUGACGACGCAACGCCGCGUGGAGGACGAAGACUUUCGGGUUGUAAACUCCUGUCGAGCGGGAAGAACAGCUUGUGGGUUAAUACCCCAUAGGCCUGACGGUACCGUUAAAGGAAGCCCCGGCUAACUCCGUGCCAGCAGCCGCGGUAAUACGGGGGGGGCAAGCGUUGUUCGGAUUUACUGGGCGUAAAGGGCUCGUAGGCGGCCAUCCAAGUCGGACGUGAAAUCCCCAGGCUCAACCUGGGAACUGCGUCCGAUACUGGUUGGCUUGAAGUCGGGAGAGGGAUGCGGAAUUCCAGGUGUAGCGGUGAAAUGCGUAGAUAUCUGGAGGAACACCGGUGGCGAAGGCGGCAUCCUGGACCGAUCUUGACGCUGAGGAGCGAAAGCUAAGGGAGCGAACGGGAUUAGAUACCCCGGUAGUCUUAGCCCUAAACGAUGAAUGCUUGGUGUGGCGGGUAUCGAUCCCUGCCGUGCCGGAGCUAACGCAUUAAGCAUUCCGCCUGGGGAGUACGGUCGCAAGGCUGAAACUCAAAGGAAUUGACGGGGGCCCGCACAAGCGGUGGAGCAUGUGGUUUAAUUCGAUGCAACGCGAAGAACCUUACCAGGCCUUGACAUCCUAGGAAUCCUGUAGAGAUACGGGAGUGCCUUCGGGAAUCUAGUGACAGGUGCUGCAUGGCUGUCGUCAGCUCGUGUCGUGAGAUGUUGGGUUAAGUCCCGUAACGAGCGCAACCCUUGUCCUUAGUUGCCAGCACAUUAUGGUGGGAACUCUAAGGAGACUGCCGGUGACAAACCGGAGGAAGGUGGGGACGACGUCAAGUCAUCAUGGCCCUUACGGCCUGGGCUACACACGUGCUACAAUGGCUAGGACAGACGGCUGCAAACCCGCGAGGGGGAGCUAAUCCGACAAACCUAGUCGUAGUCCGGAUCGGAGUCUGCAACUCGACUCCGUGAAGUCGGAAUUGCUAGUAAUCGCGAAUCAGAAUGUCGCGGUGAAUACGUUCCCGGGCCUUGCACACACCGCCC